UACGUAGGGUGCAAGCGUUUGUCCGGAAUUAUUGGGCGUAAAGAGCUUGUAGGCGGUUUGUCGCGUCUGCUGUGAAAUUUCGGGGCUCAACCCCGAACUUGCAGUGGGUACGGGCAGACUAGAGUGUGGUAGGGGAGACUGGAAUUCCUGGUGGUAGCGGUGAAAUGCGCAGAUAUCAGGAGGAACACCGAUGGCGAAGGCAGGUCUCUGGGCCAUAACUGACGCUGAGAAGCGAAAGCAUGGGGAGCGAACAGG
rnacentral:rRNA from 1 species